rnacentral:lncRNA from 1 species
GUCCUUUUUUGAUACAGUUAAUGUCCAGGGUUCGGUAUUACAAAGCAUUCCUAAGACCUGUCAUAAGAUAUAUAUUAGGACAUGUCUUAUGAUCCUCUUAUGACUAUCUAUGGACAUAUCUUUAUUUAAUGAAUUAUAAUUGUGAGUGUCCACUUUGAAGGCACUAGUAAAAUACUUUCUUUCUAGUUGACACUAAAAGACAUAAGAGGAUAGCCAGGAUAGAUGUGUCUACAAAUAAAAUUGGGAAUUGAAAUGGGGUAUGUGUCUAAAAGACAACAACCCGCCCAUGUAGCAGAC